rnacentral:lncRNA from 1 species
GAGAAUACAUUUUCCUUGUACCAGACUAAACAUUUAAACGCAGGGAGGCCAGUUCUUUAUAAAUUCCUGGUAAAGACUAAUGUUGAAUGAAAAGAUAAUCUUAUUGUGCAUGAGAGGGUAAGAUGCAAUCUGAAGUUAACUGCUGCAAGGAAGAAUGUAUUGGGGUUAUUAUUUGCGGGUGUAUCUUCGUACAAUGUUAUUUUAUUUAAGAGACAAUUUUCCAGAGAUAUUGAAAAACUUACCAGGAGUUGUGUCACUUCAGAAUAAUUGGACUAAAAGAUCAUUGAAGGUCCAUUCUAAGUGAAAUAUUCUAUAUUCUAUAUUCCGUAUUCUAUAUUCUAUAUUCCAUAUUCCAUCUUCCAUCUUCCAUCUUCCAUCUUCCAUAUUCUAUAUUCUAUAUUCUAUAUUCUAUAUCCUAUUCUAAAUAGAAUAGCCAUGUGUUCAACAGAGUUCACUUAAGGAUUUUUCCCCCUGAUUUGUAUUCAGAUAACAGCAUUUGAGGAAAUGGAGCAAAUGAACACCUUGGAGAAAAGUUGCAGAGGUAGGGGAAGCUGAAACACUUGUAGCUAGGUGUGAAAAAAAAAAAAAAUUAAAUCUUAUUGUUCUGGUUUUCUACAUGGUUCUCUAUGGGUUGUGGUCUGAAUUGUGCCCAUUGCCUUGGUUUGGGAGCAAACCCAGCCCUGUCCCAGCAUGAAGCAGGACCUACAGCCCCGUGCCUUUGCCGGACAGGGGAGGAGGCAUCUGCUGGGGCUGCCCCGGCUCAGGCAGCUCCUGCCUGGGGCUGAGGGGCCGUUUCGGGAUGAGUCAGAGGAGCUAUAAAAGCCGAGCGUGGGCUGCCGGGGCCGUAGGCAAAUGCACAGGUGCUUCUCACUCCUGGGCCCUUCCUGGAAACGUGCGGCGCUUUGCUUUGCAUCCUCACCCUCGGUAGGUGCUCGCACCAAUGCGGCUGUGCCUUUUGGAGCCCUCCUUGCCCAAACCUGGUCCCAGCAAGGAAAACCAGCCUUGUUCCCAGCGGGAUGCUAAGAGGGAGGUGCUGCUGCCCACCGCCGCUGGCCGGAUAUUAGUUCAAAUGAAAACCCUGCAUGUGAAAAAUGGGAAGCUGCUUCUGUAUGAAACACUUCAAGUUAAUCAAGCUCAACUUUUGCACUUUUUGCCUUGUUACUAUUCUUGUUUCAGCGGGGGAUGGAUAGCCCUGGAUAUUGAAAUAAUACAUGACCAUCAGAAGCAGCGAUUUUGAGCUGCUUCUCCCUGAUGCAUUCCAGGCCUUAGCAGCAAAUAUCAAUACCAUCAAAUAAAAUGUCAUUUUUUCGUGACCCA